CGCGCAGGCGGUCGUUCAAGUCGGAUGUGAAAGCCCCCGGCUCAACUGGGGAGGGUCAUUCGAUACUGAUCGACUCGAAGGCAGGAGAGGGAAGCGGAAUUCCCGGUGUAGUGGUGAAAUGCGUAGAUAUCGGGAGGAACACCAGUGGCGAAGGCGGCUUUCUGGCCUGUUCUUGACGCUGAGGCGCGAAAGCUAGGGGAGCAAACG
rnacentral:rRNA from 1 species